rnacentral:rRNA from 1 species
UGCGCAGGCGGGGCAAUAAGUCAGUGGUGUAAUCCUGCGGCUUAACCGUAGAACUGCCAUUGAUACUGUUGCCCUUGAGUAUAGUUGAGGUGGGCGGAAUAUGUAAUGUAGCGGUGAAAUGCAUAGAUAUUACAUAGAACACCGAUUGCGAAGGCAGCUCACUAAGCUAUCACCGACGCUGAGGCACGAAAGCGUGGGGAGCGAACAGGAUUAGAUACCCUGGUAGUCC